GAUGAAGAACGCAGCGAAAUGCGAUAACUAAUGUGAAUUGCAGAAUUCAGUGAAUCAUCGAGUCUUUGAACGCACAUUGCGCCCCCUGGUAUUCCGGGGGGCAUGCCUGUCCGAGCGUCAUUGCUGCCCUCAAGCACGGCUUGUGUGUUGGGCUCCGUCCCCCCGGGGACGGGCCCGAAAGGCAGCGGCGGCACCGAGUCCGGUCCUCGAGCGUAUGGGGCUCUGUCACCCGCUCUGUAGGCCCGGCCGGCGCCAGCCGACAACCCAUCAUCCUUUUCAGGUUGACCUCGGAUCAGGUAGGGAUACCCGCUGAACUUAAGCAUAUCAAUAAGCGGAGGA
rnacentral:misc_RNA from 1 species